AGCACAGAUUUAUUGAGGAUAAUUCACAGAGCGGGAGCCGGCUCGAGCAAGCAGUCAAGAGCCUCCUUAAUUAGGGUUUUUACUAAGCUCGAGGAACCUGGCAACACCCCUCCGUGCCCUUUAGAGGCCUCCAAUUGGCUACACCCCAUGAAGGAUUGGCCUGCGACCCGUCAGAGGCUGCAGUGGAGACCCAGCUUGCAGUCCAUCAGAGGCUGCAGUGGAGACCCAGCUUGCAGUCCAUCAGAGGCUGCAGUGGAGACCCAGCUUGCAGUCCAUCAGAGGCUGCAGUGGAGACCCAGCUUGCAGUCCAUCAGAGGCUGCAGUGGAGACCCAGCUUGCAGCCCAUCAGAGGCUGGAGUGGAGACCCAACUUGCAGCCCAUCAGAGGCUGCAGUGGAGACCCAGCUUGCAGUCCAUCAGAGGCUGGAGUGGAGACCCAGCUUGCAGGCCAUCAGAGGCUGCAGUGGAGACCCAGCUUGCAGUCCAUCAGAGGCUGCAGUGGAGACCCAGCUUGCAGUCCAUCAGAGGCUGCAGUGGAGACCCAGCUUGCAGUCCAUCAGAGGCUGCAGUGGAGACCCAGCUUGCAGCCCAUCAGAGGCUGGAGUGGAGACCCAACUUGCAGCCCAUCAGAGGCUGCAGUGGAGACCCAGCUUGCAGUCCAUCAGAGGCUGCAGUGGAGACCCAGCUUGCAGGCCAUCAGAGGCUGCAGUGGAGACCCAGCUUGCAGUCCAUCAGAGGCUGGAGUGGAGACCCAGCUUGCAGUCCAUCAGAGGCUGCAGUGGAGACCCAGCUUGUAGUCCAUCAGAGGCUGCAGUGGAGACCCAGCUUGCAGUCCAUCAGAGGCUGGAGUGGAGACCCAGCUUGCAGUCCAUCAGAGGCUGCAGUGGAGACCCAGCUUGCAGGCCAUCAGAGGCUGCAGUGGAGACCCAGCUUGCAGUCCAUCAGAGGCUGGAGUGGAGACCCAGCUUGCAGUCCAUCAGAGGCUGCAGUGGAGACCCAGCUUGCAGUCCAUCAGAGGCUGCAGUGGAGACCCAGCUUGCAGUCCAUCAGAGGCUGGAGUGGAGACCCAGCUUGCAGUCCAUCAGAGGCUGCAGUGGAGACCCAGCUUGCAGGCCAUCAGAGGCUGCAGUGGAGACCCAGCUUGCAGUCCAUCAGAGGCUGGAGUGGAGACCCAGCUUGCAGUCCAUCAGAGGCUGCAGUGGAGACCCAGCUUGCAGUCCAUCAGAGGCCAGAGUGGCUUGUUACCAUGGGCGGGAGGACGUGGCCUCUAUGCAGCCCCUACUGCUCUCCUAUUUAUACAAACUGGCGGCACCUGCUGUUCUUUUGCUUAUGUGAACUGGCUGCAUAUGCUGAACCCCCGUUUACUCUAACUCCCUGUUCUCCUGCCACAGUUUGUUGAGUGUGGAAUGCUUGGACCCCAGCUUGUAAAGUAACCUUUGUUUCUUUGGG